rnacentral:tRNA from 1 species
GGAUUGUGGCUCAGUGGUAGAGUGCUCUCCUAGCAUGCAUGAGGCACUGGGUUUGAUCCUCAGCACCA